rnacentral:rRNA from 1 species
AGAGUUUGAUCCUGGCUCAGAUUGAACGCUGGCGGCAUGCUUUACACAUGCAAGUCGAACGGCAGCACGGGGGCAACCCUGGUGGCGAGUGGCGAACGGGUGAGUAAUACAUCGGAACGUAUCCUUGAGUGGGGGAUAACGCAGCGAAAGUUGUGCUAAUACCGCAUGAGCUCUGAGGAGGGAAGUGGGGGACCGUAAGGCCUCACGCUGAAGGGGCGGCCGAUGUCCGAUUAGCUAGUUGGUGAGGUAAAGGCUCACCAAGGCUUCGAUCGGUAGCUGGUCUGAGAGGAUGAUCAGCCACACUGGGACUGAGACACGGCCCAGACUCCUACGGGAGGCAGCAGUGGGGAAUUUUGACUAUGGGGGCAACCCUGAUCCAGCCAUGCCGCGUGAGUGAAGAAGGCCUUCGGGUUGUAAAGCUCUUUCUUGAGGGAAGAAACGGACAUACUGAAUAGCAGUGGCUACUGACGGGACCUCAACAAGAAGAACCGGCUACCUACAUGCCAGCCCCCACGGU